CAGCUGGUGUCAUUCCGCAGUAACGCGCUCUCUCUCCCUGAAGGCCAAUCGGUGACUUUGGGGUUCUUUAGCUCCCCCAUUACAGACAUGCGGGGACCUCUGUGGCUGUUUCUCUGCGCGCUGCCGCUGUUCCCAGGUUCGGUGGCUGGGAACUCGCUGACCCAGAUCCCGGCUUCUCUGUCAGCCACGGAAGGGCAGCGGGUGGAGAUAAGGUGUCGAUACAGCACCUCCUACAGCAGCUACGCCCUGGACUGGUACCAGGAGCGGCCGGGGAAGGAACCCGUCUUCCUGCUGGGCAGAAACUCCUACGGCUCGGAGCGCAAAUCCAGUUCGGUGGCCCCUCGAUUCUCCGCGCAGCUGGACACCCGAGCGAAGUCUCUCACGCUGUCCAUAGACGGGGCGCAGCGGGCUGACUCGGCGGUGUAUUUCUGCGCUCUCUGGGAUCCACUGUGCUACAGAGCGCCCCGGGCUCCCGACACAAACUGCCGGAGGGGGCGGCAGGUGUCUGAAAGGCGGUGAAGUGUAAUUCGAGUUCUCAGCCCCAGUAGACACGUUAGGAGGCACACUUCAGACCUCCUGGAAAAACAAAGGUACAUUUUGGAGGACGUAGGCUCGCCAGAGGAGAUGAGACGCUUUGCCGUCGGAGUAGCUACGACACACAGAAGAAGCAACGCAACCUGAAUUUUAGAGAUAGGCGGCUGCGGCGCAGACGCGCUGAGUGACUUGGCCUCGGUGACACAGAGAAACGGCUUGAGGGCAGAGGAACUGGGUUGGGAAGGACGUGUCUCGGUUAUAUUAGCGUCUCUGCAAUAGUCCUGGGAGCUCCUCCAGAGAAGGAGGAUGAGUCAUGUAAUGUUACCUUAACUUGGAGACAUAAAGAAGUUGAUCAUUAUUUAUAAUUAAGGUAAUGCUAAAAUUAUCUAA